rnacentral:rRNA from 1 species
GACGAACGCUGGCGGCGUGCCUAACACAUGCAAGUCGAACGGAAAGGCCCUGCUUUUGUGGGGUGUUCGCGUGGCGAACGGGUGAGUAACACGUGAGUAACCUGCCCUUGACUUUGGGAUAACUUCAGGAAACUGGGGAUAAUACCGGAUAGGAGCUCCUGCUGCAUGGUGGGGGUUGGAAAGUUUCGGCGGUUGGGGAUGUACUCGCGGCUUAUCAGCUUGUUGGUGGGGUAGUGGCUUACCAAGGCUUCGACGGGUAGCCGGCCUGAGAGGGUGAACGGCGACAUUGGGACUGAGGGACGGACCAGUCUCGAACGGGAGGCAACGGGCGGGAGUAUGACACAGUGAGCGGGAGUCUGUGACGGAGAUGCCGGGAGCGUGAAGACGGCUUACGGGUGGUGAACCGCUGUCGCUUGUGACGUAGCGUUAGUGACGGUAAUGAGUAAAGAAGCACCGGCUAACUACGUG